GUGUGCUCUUUGUAAAGCCAAGUAUCGGAAAAAUAUUUACAAUGUAUACAGCCGCCAUAGGCAGUUUGUUCAUCCCAGUGAAGUAUAAAUAUUGCUGAAUGAUUAAUCUCGUUCUUUCAGGGGCUGUUCGCUCUUCAGCGUCUACUGGUUGGUCCUUCUCACCCAAAACAAUAAUUUUAUCAACCUCAAAUCAAUUAAAAAAAAGAUCAUUUAAAAACGGGCUCAGCAUUUAUUCGGGAGCAAAUUUCCUGACACAUAAAGAUGAAUGAAUGAUCGUUACCUCUGUUCUGUCCACUCCUCACCCCCUCUUAUACCACACACCAACUCGACAUCAACAUCUGCCCUACUGCUGCAAGCCUUUCAACCGCCCAGACUGAAAAUAAAUUAUUGAGAUUAUGGGGCUGAAUGACUGCAAGAGGGAGCGUGCAACCUACAUUUUCACCUGCAGUACUAGUAACAUUCAUCAUUGUCAUUUAUUAAAAUAACAAGGACUCUGAUUUGAACAAGGUAAUAAUGGAUAUUUAGAUUUUUCAGCCCUAAAUUAGAAAAUCUACAUCUUACAUUGGGACACCGAGGGUCCUUUACAAGCUGUUUUUGCUGACGGUGCUGUGUCUGUAGUUUCUCUAAGUGCGACGACAAAGCUAUCGAGAAAGGAUCUCCUUGUUUUUUUUCUGUUCUUCUGAGAGUUUUCCUGCCUGUCUUCCUGCCCCUCCACUUCCUUUAAGACAAAAGAGGAGCCAGUGCUUCUCAGAGCUCUGGGCCUUGUUCCUGAGGUGAUGUGAUUAAAGGCUUCUGUCUGGGCGGCAUUCAUUCAAAUGCAUCACACACACCACAGCUGCUGUACUUAAUUGAAUUGUCGGGGCAGGAGACUGAAGGUAGCAACAAGACUGACAGGCUAAAUCAAUAGAGUGGUACUUAAAUAGACUUGGGCUGUGGUGGUACUAUUAUAAAGCUGUUUGUUUGUAAUUGAACUAAUGAUUUGAUUGUAGAUGUUUAUGUUUCACGUGAUAGAAAGAUAUUCAGGAUGUGAAAAAAAUUCAUCUGUCCUUUAGCUGACUACUCAUUGAUGCGAUAUUGUGCUGCUCUCAUGUUCUGUAUUAGCAGAUUUUUACUGUAUUUUUCUUAUUUUUGUUUGGGUUUGUUUUACUUUAUUACAUUUUACAAUGGGCUUCAUUAUUUUAUCAGCUACUGUAACAGAUUUGCCUUUUUAACAUCUGCUAAUUGAUCACAGAGCAGUUUCCUUGUUCUGUGAUCAGUGAUGUUGCAAGACAUUGCUGUUUAGCAGGUAAUGUCAUAUUAUCCUUUGGGUGAGCGUUACACAAAACACAAGUUUUAACCUGACAAAAGCUGAGGUGGGUGUGUAUGUGUGAGUGUGUGUCACUGGGGUGGUUAAAGGCAGCACUGUUUCUGUUGUUGGCCUGUUGCCAUGAAACAAAAUAAUAUAUAAAAACAUAUAAAGAAGCAUAAAUUAAGCUUCAAAAAGUUUUUUUUACCUUCUCAUCUGAUAGCCCUGCACUUAUUUCAGCCACGUUAAGUAAGAUUCCAACACAUUAGGAGCAAAAACGCUCCCUUCAGUAGGUAACAGCUGAAGAAUGGCAACACAGUGUCUUGGUGGUUAACAUGGCCUCACUCAGAGGACCUUACUGUGGGACUUUUUCCAAACCACUUCUUAUGGGUGGAGUUUGCAUCUUCGCCCGGUGUCUGCGAGGGUUCUCUCCAGUUUCCCUCUCUUCCUCCUGUAGUCCAAAGAGAUGCAGUUAGUGGGAUUAGGUUAACUGGUGAUUCUAAAUAGCCCAUAGGUGUGAAUGUGAGUGUGGAAGGUUGUCUAUCGCUCUGUGGUAUCCCAUGUCUUUGAAAAACAUAUAAUUCAAUUCAGUUUUAUUUACACAGAAUCAAAUCAUAACAACAGUUGCCUGUAAGGUAAACACUCUACAAUAAUAUGAGGUUACAAGGUUAAUCGUGCCUUAUUUUGACCCAAGAGCCACAAAAACGAUAUCAUUUAUUUCCAGAGUUUCAUUUCCUGGUAAAUACAGUUUUUUAAAAAAAGAAAAGAAAUGCAUAUCACUUCACUUUAAGAUAAGCAAGAUUACUAAUCAGUCAUAGUGCCACUCUGAAGCUGAAUACUUUGUUGUGUGGGGCUAUUGGAAAGCACUCAAAAUUUGUGAAUAAGCAGCUUUUUGCUCUCUUUUCACCCACUCAGUGUCCAGAGAUGCACCUACGCCAACAGAGCUUUGUUGUUUUGUCUGCACUUCACAGUUAGCUAUAGUUGAUAUCACUAGAGCAAAUGAGUGCAACGAUAGAUUGUUGGUGUUAUCAAGUUUUCUGCAGGAAACCCUGGCAUGAUUGUAGCCACACAAAACAAUUAAUAUCAGCCUCAAGGUGGCACUAGAGAAGUGUCGGGAUCAACCAGGUUUAAGUAGCCUUAAUUGUGCAAACUGCCGUCCAGCUGUUUUGAUUUUUCAGAGACCAACCACCUGAGAGACCCAGAGGGUUUAUCUUGAGUGAGACUCCGUGUCUGACUGUCAAAAAAAAAUCAAUUACAGCAACAAUCAAUAUUAUUCAAUCAAGUCUUUAUCAGCCAAAGAUCUAUUCAGUAAGAUAAAGUUAGAUUGUCUCGCACAUGGCCAAGAGACAAGGUGAAGCCUGUUGCCAACAAAGUCAGCCAAGCACUGCGGUAAAAUGUUUUUUAGGUAAUUGCAGUUGCAGAGGAAAGUGGUGAUGUAAUUUUGGAGAGAUGAUGUAAUUGUCUAUCAGCUUCAUUGCGCUUGUUGAUUAAUUAAGUGCUUCUCUGGUCAGUUACUGGG
rnacentral:lncRNA from 1 species